GCAACAAGAGUUGACGCGUUUAAUAACACACAAAGCUGCAGGUAAAGUUGUUAAGAGUAGGGUGGAAGCAAUUUCAGUUUGGGCAUUGUCGAUUUCUUCGCCAGUUAGUCGGCAUACUGAUUGGUGAAGUUUACGAAUCAGCCCUUGCAUUCGCGGACGGUCUUUUGUUGGACCAUUUAUUCGCUUUUUUUGAAUUAUCUGAAAAUUGCUGGAGAAUACUGAAGGUGGGGUAAUAGCCCUGACAGACGACAGCGCUAAUUUGCAUUAGCGAGUAUAAUUUACAUAAACUUGCGCAUUUGACCCAUUUUAAUACAAAUUAGUAAUGCACAAAAAUGUCGUGCAUUUAGCUGAAUUUACCAAAUUUUAGUAGGCAACAUUCGUUAAAAAUUGCAGACUUUUGUUAUUGUGAAUGGUGAUUAAUAGAAAGAAGAAGAUAAAACAUAAACAAAAGAUUUAAGGAAAGCGUUAGAGAUGGAAGGAAACAAACAAUGGGAACAAACAUCUAUGCCGAUAUAUCUGUGCAAAUGGCACACAAAUUUACAUUAAAAGAAGUUCAUGUAAAAAUAAGGAAUCUCUCUUAAAAAUAUAGAGAGGAAAAGAAAAAGUAGGGCCCUCGGGGGCCCACGAAUUCAACAUUACUUCAGUUCCAGUCAUCUAUAACUAUAAGAUUACGAGAACCAAUGUCAACUGAACCUAUAGCAUCACCAGGACCAAUGUUAUCUGAACGGGUGUGUACGCCAGUAAUGACAUUGACGAACUCGCCAUCAGUAUCGCCAUUGGGUAGUUCAACAUCAGCAGCGGGUACAUCUAAAAAGAGAAAUUACAUGGGCGAACUAAUAAAAGUGGCAAAAGAACAAAAGGAAUUGCUGAAGACAGUGGUGCAGGACGGGAAAAUAUUGACCGAGAGAGUUGUUAAUGCAAUCGAACAACAAAGUAGUAAUACAAAAGAGUUUAUAGGUGUUAUGAAAAAUAUUUUAGAAAAAAUGUACUUAUAAAUGUAUAU
rnacentral:lncRNA from 1 species